ensembl:lincRNA
AUGGUGGUCCCAGGAAGAGAGUGCCAGGUCUGCAUCGGUGGGCACAUGCUGAGAUCGAGUGAGGACAUCAGAUGGCCACCACUGGCACGCUGGAGUCCUGAAAUGGGAGAACGAGGCCAGGAGGCACCAGGUGGCACCCACAGCAGUGAUUCUCCCCGGGGAUGGGGGGGGUGGGUUCCACCCGAGGGGGGCAGUGGGCACGGCCCCAGGGAGGCCUAUCAGCACAUGGAGGGGAGCAGUGUUCUGCUCACAGACAGGCUCAGCAGCAGCAAACGGAUCCAGAAGUUGGUUCUGAUAGGCCGCCUGUGGGUCGUGCGUCCUCGGGUGAGAAUCACUGGUGGAAGGGGGAGGACGGAGGCGGGGGCAGAGAUGGGAGGGAGCAGAAGGUGCCCGCCAGUGGACCAGAUUGAGGCAUCAGACAUGUGGGUGUCAGAGCAGGGCGAGGGCGACAGGGAGUCCAGGGAGAGAUGGCAGCGCACAGAGGGAGAGAGUGUGCUGGGUGUGGCCCGUGAGCAGAGGCCACUGUCCAGGGGAAGGGAAGGCAGCACCAGAGGGGAGUGGGGCCGGGCAGAAGGAGAGCUCUUGAAGGGAUGAGUGCUGAGGUAGGAGGAGGAGGAGAAAGAGGAGGAGGAGGAAGAAGAGGAGGAGGAGAAAGGGUGGGAAGCAUGGGCUGCCCACUCAGAAGACAGAGCCGUGAGGCCCAGCAGCAGGCCAGGUUAGCAGCCAGCAUGUGUCAUGGGAAGAGUAAAGACACUAGAUAAAAGCAUGUGGCUUAAGGAGAAUCAUAAGCAGAUUCUUCCAAACAUAUUUUCAGAAGUCUGUGAAAGACACCAUCUUGGGAAGUUACAGAGAGCUAAAGUUGUGGGGAGUUGGAAAGAACCUAUAGCCAAAGGAACAGGUGCAUCAGUGCUUGUACAGAAAACAUGGAUUUGGGAGUCUGUCUAAGACCAAAGUCCAACAGGUAGAGCAGUGAGAAUCAGAUGGAGUGGGAAGGGCAUCUGAGUGUUCUCUAGAAUCAGCUGGACAACUCAGAAGUGAGCCAAUGGCAGAUGGUGACCAUCUGGUAGUAUCUUGAUAGGCAAUAUGGGAAGAAAGGAAAGAUGAUCAACUGGUCCCAGGAAGUGAGAGAGCAGAUGAAGAGUUACAUACCAUGUGGGAGCACGUCUUACGAAAAGUGAUGUGAUAUUUAUUGGGCAAGAAUACUGAGACAGCAGAAAAUGGAGCCAGCAGCUGAGAUAGAAGAAGGCUGUUGAGAGCAUCAGGGAAUGCACUGCACCUAGGGAUACAAGGCACAGAUCAGAAUGAAAAUGUCAGCUCAAAGAAUCUAGAAGCUUUUCCCUCGUCGUAAACCGAAGUACAUCGUGAAUCUCGUGGAGGAUGAAAGCAUGGCACAAGUAAGAUAAGAGAGGGUGAAAGAGAGAUUGGAGGAGGCCAAAGGAGAGUAGUAAUAGAAAUACUGGACGAAGCUCUGGUUGACAUAAUGAAAGAUGAGGGAAACAAGAAAGGUGCUACAAUCCUCAAAAUGGCAAAACUGUUAAAGUACAAUUUUUAGAGGUGAAUUAAAAGAGUCAAUACAGCAUGGUUGGGGUGGAAGCUGGCAAUGGUGGUAGCAAUGAGUGCAUGGUGAGAGCAGGCUCUGGGAAAGAUUCUGGAGACUAUGGAUUGACUGAGAGGGGAAAGAGAAAUGGACGUUGGAUAGGAAGUAGAAGGUCUCUGGAAGACAACAGACACAGUGUGUACUGAGGGUAAAUCAAUAUUCAAUAUGGAAAGGGACUGCCACAGAAAGGAGUCAGAGAGGGCUGUGAGGCUUGACUUGUGUCACAGGAGUGCAUAGGAAAAAGAAAGGCAGAGCAGGCACCGCAUAUGGAAGGACCCAUUUAAACAUGGGAGAUCAAUAUAGUUGCGUUGGUAACUUAGAAAGGACAAGGUGGAAUGCCGAGUAUGCAAACUGAGGGCACCAGGAGUCCGGUCUUGAGAUUUACUGUAUCAGGAGUAGAUCUUGCAAGCAAAUGAGAGAAGAGUGAAAAAAGCCCACGUGUUUGCAGAACUGAGCCCUGUAGACAGUCAAAAGCUGAAAAGUAAGUGAAGUUAAACUGCAAAACCAGGCAGCAUAGCACUUAUGAUGGCUCCUGCACAGAGAGCACUGGCAGGGAACCUAAAGGACAUGAAGCUGGACUCAGGUCCAUCAAGUCCCGUGUGUGGGAGACAGAUGCUUGCAAAUGGCAGAGGGACAGCUGGGAUGCAGUGUGGAACAGGCAUUUUGCAGUGACCACUAGAGCUGUGCUUCUGCUAUUCAAGGUGCUUGAAAAGGGGAGCUAUCCUGCAGACAGACCCAGAGCAGUACAUGUUGAAGGAGGAUAUGGGUGAGUCUUGAACUACAGUGUAGAACUGUAGUUUUACAGAAAGGUGGGGACAAAGGACCAAAUUAGUGCUGAGGGUUAGAAAUGCCCUAGGGAAGUUAAUGGGUUGGUUUGGCUUCUUAUUUAGUAGGCUUAAUGAGGAAGAGGUAGAAGAAUGAAGAGGGGUAGAGGUAGGUAGAAGAAGGAAGAGGGGGAGAACAGGCCAUACGUAAGAAGACACACUUAUACUGAACAUGAGUGUUGUGAUAUUAGCUAAGGCAACAAGAACAGAGAAAAUGGGAGAUGUACCAUGUAAUACAGGGCUUGAGAGAACCCUCUUGCUACUGAAUAAAAGUGAAGGAGGACAGAUAGUACAGCAAAUACAUAGUUGGUUGAAGAGUUCUGUGGAAACUACCUUGUUGGAGGAGGAGGAAGAAAGACUGGAGCGAAAGUGGAUGGGAAGAGAGUGUAAGAGAAGGUGGAGUUCAGAUUCAGUGGGAGAUAUGGACAGUGACAGCAAAACAUGCUAGAACAGGUUGGGUAUGUAAAGAAAAAGUGUCAGCAAAAAACAAGGUUCAAGAAAGGAGGAGAAUCUGAUGAAGUGGCACACAGCAAGAGGCUGAGAGAAAUAACCACAGAGAAGAGGAAGAGAAGUUCUGCAAGCUCAUGGGGCCAAAGAGAAGAAAUACAUGACAAAAGGAAGAGCUACAAGACAGGAUUUGCUUAUGAGAAGCUGAAUCAGGGUAAGGAUACUCAACACUCAAAGUCAGGGGAACAAGACAUAUCCAAGAAGAAUGGAGAGCAGAGAGUUGGGAGGGAGGUAGGCAGAUGGGCUGAAGAUUGCAAGGGCAGAGAUGGAAAGUGUAUUCAAAAUAAAAAACCCCUCCCUGUAUGAGAGCAGUGGCCUGAUGAUGGUAAAAGGGCGAGGAGGGAGAAGGGAAAGGGAGAAAGCAGAGUUCCCAAGUGAGGAGUUUGCAGAUGGCUAGGCCGAGUCAGUGGGAUGGGAGGGAUCACACUGGAAGCCUAGGGGUGGAAGACAGCGAAGGCAGUGUUCUGAGUGUUUGCAGAAGUGCAGGUGAUGGUAGAGCAAGGGAAACUGUGGCUCAGGACCACCAGAGGAAACUGAGUGGUGUUCACCUUUUGGAGGGCUCUUGCACUCAGCACUGGCAGGUAAGCUCAGGGACGUGGGGAUGAGUCCAGGGGAGUGGGUAAUGUGCAUAGAGACAGAGGCCUGCAAAUAAAUGGUGGAGGGGCAGCUGAGAGCCAAUGUGAAACAGACAUUUUGCAAUGGCCAACCAAGCUGUGCUUCCACUGUUCAAGGGUGCCUGAAAAGAGUGCAGUGUCCAGUGCAGCAGCCACUGCGGGGGACAUUGUGAAGGCUGUGUGGAUGAAGCCAUUCACCACUCAGAAGAUCAGUAUGUAUUUAGAAUAAGAAGUGAGGUCCCCAGCAAAUGGGCAUAGUAGGAGUAAUCCUAAACGCAGGAGGCCUGUGAGAAGGGGAGUGGAUGGGAGCCUUUGGCUUUGGAGGGUUGAUCAAGAGGAGGAGUGAAGGGCAAAAGAAUUAUCUUAAAAUUUGAUGGCUCUAAUACAGGUAGUGUGGGUAAGUCAUAAUAAGGAACAACUGUCCAGACAACCUGAAUGGGUGUGAAUGCAAUGGACAGGGCUGUAUUUCUCACAUGGGGCCUGCCGGGGAGCAAAUGUAAGUAACAGAGGAGAGAAAGACCAGGAAGUGGCUGCAGGGCUCCUGUCUGCUCCUUUGAUGGGAAGGCACAGAAAACAGGAAGACUGGGAAAAGCCAAAGAAAGGUAUCCUAGGAAAUGUGAAUGUGAGCAUUUGGGAAGGAUGCAGCUGGUGGCCAGUAGUGGCUCAGAAGUGAUGCUGACACAGGGCUGGAAAGACUUGAGCAGAGCCAGCAGGCACAAUGACACAGCAGAGCCUAUGGAGGGAAGAGGCAAAGAAUUCUGAUCAAGUGGUGGGUACCAGGAAGUGCAGGGCAGCAGGGCCCCAGAGAAGGGGCCGAGAAGCUGCCCUAGGCCCGGGACUGAACGAGAGGAAAGGGGUGGCAGGAGGACAGGCAGCAGGAAAGAUGUGGCAAUGAGAGCAAGAAACAGGGCAAGGGGCAGUCACCCGGGGAAGGCAGACAGGGGGGCAGGGGGCACCAAGGGAGGGCGGAGCAGAGAGAGUGGUGGGAGGGAGACGGGCUCGACAGCCACAAUGGAGCAGGGCAGAGGGGCGGCAACAGGUGGCACUGAAGGCUCUUCAGGUGCUCAGCCCUGUCUGCAAGGCUCAGACAUGGGGAGGGAUAGGCAGAAAAGGGGUGGAUCCCUAUGGACAUGGAAAUACAUAUGUUUCAGAAGGUUUCGGUGUUGUUAGAAGGUGUACAUUUUAUGCCAAGCUCUUAAUCAUGGAUUCGCUGGGGUGGGCUGGGGACUAGGAUGGGUCAGGGACAGGAUUUGGGUCAGGAAGGCAGGUAAGGUGGGUUAUAGACAGGUGGAAGUGGGGCCAUGAGCCUCACUGCAGGUAUGGAGAAGACAUCUUACUGAACUGAGCUGGUAGAACAUUCCAGGUGUAGGGUGUGAAGUGAAGAGUAGCGUCUGGGGGGCCCCCUGAGCCUGCUUUCCUGCUAGGAGGAAGAGGGUAGCUGAAGGAGGGGGAAGGGAAGGGAAGAAUAAAAGGCUGGCUCCUGAGAUGAAGGGAGAUUGAGGCUCAAAGAGACACAGUAUGUGGGCACCUCUGCCAGAAUCACAGAUGGGAGGAGCAAUUAACAAAGAACAGACCAAGGGACCACAGUAUCUCCCAGAAGGCAUUUGGUGCAAACGCACUGACAGCUGCAGGAGGGUUAUUGUGGUUGCUGGCUCAAGCGGGCUGGGGUGGGGAGGGGUCCUUUGGAAGAAUAACUCUCAGGUAGAGUGGGUUUGUGUCAGUUCUUGUAGUGAGGGGUAUACAGCGAGGGGAACAUGUUGGCC